rnacentral:rRNA from 1 species
GCUGAAGCCAGUCGAAGAUACCAGCUGGCUGCAACUGUUUAUUAAAAACACAGCACUGUGCAAACACGAAAGUGGACGUAUACGGUGUGACGCCUGCCCGGUGCUGGAAGGUUAAUUGAUGGGGUCAGCCGCAAGGCGAAGCUCCUGAUCGAAGCCCCAGUAAACGGCGGCCGUAACUAUAACGGUCCUAAGGUAGCGAAAUUCCUUGUCGGGUAAGUUCCGACCUGCACGAAUGGCGUAAUGAUGGCCAGGCUGUCUCCACCCGAGACUCAGUGAAAUUGAACUCGCUGUGAAGAUGCAGUGUACCCGCGGCAAGACGGAAAGACCCCGUGAACCUUUACUAUAGCUUGACACUGAACAUUGAGCCUUGAUGUGUAGGAUAGGUGGGAGGCUUUGAAGUGUGGACGCCAGUCUGCAUGGAGCCAACCUUGAAAUACCACCCUUUAACGUUUGAUGUUCUAACCUAGGCCCAUAAACUGGGUCGGGGACCGUGUCUGGUGGGUAGUUUGACUGGGGCGGUCUCCUCCUAAAGAGUAACGGAGGAGCACGAAGGUUGGCUAAGCAUGGUCGGACAUCAUGCGGUUAGUGCAAAGGCAUAAGCCAGCUUGACUGCGAGAGUGACGGCUCGAGCAGGUACGAAAGUAGGUCUUAGUGAUCCGGUGGUUCUGAAUGGAAGGGCCAUCGCUCAACGGAUAAAAGGUACUCCGGGGAUAACAGGCUGAUACCGCCCAAGAGUUCAUAUCGACGGCGGUGUUUGGCACCUCGAUGUCGGCUCAUCACAUCCUGGGGCUGAAGUAGGUCCCAAGGGUAUGGCUGUUCGCCAUUUAAAGUGGUACGCGAGCUGGGUUUAGAACGUCGUGAGACAGUUCGGUCCCUAUCUGCCGUGGGCGUUGGAAGAUUGAGAGGGGUUGCUCCUAGUACGAGAGGACCGGAGUGAACGCACCACUGGUGUUCGGGUUGUCAUGCCAAUGGCAUUGCCCGGUAGCUAAGUGCGGAAGAGAUAACCGCUGAAAGCAUCUAAGCGGGAAACUUGCCUCGAGAUGAGUCUUCCCUGUCGCUUUAAGCGACCUAAAGGAACGUUUAAGACUAAGACGUUGAUAGGCUGGGUGUGUAAGCGUAGCGAUACGUUGAGCUAACCAGUACUAAUGAACCGUGAGGCUUAACCUG